UACAGAGGUCUCAAGCGUUGUUCGGAUUCAUUGGGCGUAAAGGGUGCGUAGGCGGCGCGGUAAGUCGGGUGUGAAAUCUCGGAGCUUAACUCCGAAACUGCAUUCGAUACUGCCGUGCUUGAGGACUGGAGAGGAGACUGGGAUUUACGGUGUAGCGGUGAAAUGCGUAGAUAUCGUAAGGAAGACCAGUGGCGAAGGCGGGUCUCUGGACAG
rnacentral:rRNA from 1 species